UUCACUUGUAGAUGACUGCCGCUUUCGAAGAUUUUCCACAAGGUUUUUGGUCCCAGGUCCAAACAUGGAAACGGCUCCAGCAGGCAUCUAUAAGAUCCGAGUGAUUUAUGUCUCAGCCCAGAGUACAAUCUACCAGCAGGAAUAAAAGGGCCAAGGGAGCCUCCAGCAGGAAUCUUCAACUCAACCAAUGCUCGAAAGCGGAUGUCAACGGGUCUCUGGAGGACAAAGGCCAGCCCUGCAGGUGUCCACCUGAGCUCACCUGGCACCUAGCUGAUAGAGUAUACUGUAGCACGAUGAGAAGCAGUCCCUAUCGGUUUUGCCUCCCUAACCCAAAGGAGCACCAGAGCCAAUGCAACACUCACAGCAGAAUGCUAGUGGAGAUUCUCAACAGUGGUGCAUACCACAUUUUUAAAUCUUUUUUUCAAAACAUGUUAAUGGUUACACAGCCUUCCUAUUCACUUACUCUUUUUUUAAUUAUUACACUUGUUGAUGUCCAACAUUGCUUUGUUUUUAAAUUGUAAUACUCUUUCAGCAGUAAGUAACCUUGCAAAAAUACAACCCAGCUAAAAUGAAUAAUAUAGUUUCAGUAUCUUGUAUAAAGGCCUACCCAAGGCUGCCACUGGUCUGGUCUGCUUUGCUGAGUUGUUAUAUUUUUGAGAAUGUUUUUUGUAGCACGGCUAGUGA